GACGAACGCUGGCGGCGUGCUUAACACAUGCAAGUCGAACGGAAAGGCCCUGCUUUUGUGGGGUGCUCGAGUGGCGAACGGGUGAGUAACACGUGAGUAACCUGCCCUUGACUUUGGGAUAACUUCAGGAAACUGGGGCUCAUACCGGAUAUGAGCUCCUGCUGCAUGGUGGGGGUUGGAAAGUUUCGGCGGUUGGGGAUGGACUCGCGGCUUAUCAGCUUGUUGGUGGGGUAGUGGCUUACCAAGGCUUUGACGGGUAGCCGGCCUGAGAGGGUGACCGGCCACAUUGGGACUGAGAUACGGCCCAGACUCCUACGGGAGGCAGCAGUGGGGAAUAUUGCACAAUGGGCGGAAGCCUGAUGCAGCAACGCCGCGUGCGGGAUGACGGCCUUCGGGUUGUAAACCGCUUUCGCCUGUGACGAAGCGUGAGUGACGGUAAUGGGUAAAGAAGCACCGGCUAACUACGUG
rnacentral:rRNA from 1 species